CAAUAUAUAUGUUGAAUAGGAAUGUAAUGGAAGCAAAAAGGACCAAGAGAGAGAAAGAGGAGGACCGAGAGAGAGAGGUAGCGGCUGGAAAUCCAACUCAAGAGUUUAGAAGAAGAAAUAAGGAAGGAAAAGCUAGGAAAGGUGUGGAAUUAAAGGGGAGUUCAAGAAUUUAUCAAAGGUUCAUCAAAUUCAAGAUCUUAGGUGAUCAGGCGCGUGACCAGGCUUAGAGGCAUCUGCCUGGGAUCUGUUUUUGUCAGCCAACUCAUGUGCCUCCCGUGGAGGUUCCGGAUAAGUCAAGUAGCUAUGUGAUUUAAAGUCAAGUUUGGUUUUCUUGUUUGAUUAAACAAGUCUUGUGAAUUUUGUAAAUAGGGCUAAAUCCCUUUUUGUCUAAUCUGUAUAUAUAUAUAUUUAUAAUGACGUAAGGAGGAUGUGUAUAUAUAUGUAUAUAAAAAGUUUCAAUUUUUUUUUUCUGUC